rnacentral:rRNA from 1 species
GGACUACAGGGGUAUCUAAUCCUGUUUGCUCCCCACGCUUUCGUGUCUCAGCGUCAGUCUUCGUCCAGUUGGCCGCCUUCGCCACCGGUGUUCCUCUCGAUAUCUACGAAUUUCACCUCUACACCGAGAAUUCCACCAACCUCUCCGAGACUCAAGCCCCGCAGUUUCGGGUGCACUUCCUGGGUUGAGCCCAGGGCUUUCACAUCCGACUUGCGGAGCCGCCUACACACGCUUUACGCCCAGUAAUUCCGAACAACGUUCGCACCCUCUGUCUUACCGCGGCUGCUGGCAC